rnacentral:rRNA from 1 species
UUGAAAGGGAAACGAUUGAAGUCAGUCGUACUUGCGGGCAAUCAGCCUUUUGGGUGUGAUUAUGUGGAGCGUGAGGAGUUAAUCACCCUCAUCUUUUCAUAUUCUUGCACUUUGGGUGUACUUGUUCGUGUGUAGGUUAACAUCAAUUUUGAUUAUCAUAAAAUGAUGGGAGGAAUGUAGCUUCUAUCUUGUAUUGAAGUGUUAUAUCCUUUGGUAGAUGUGAUGGUCGGGAUUGAGGAUUGCAACGGAUACCCUUCGGGGCUACUCGUCCAAUCUCUGAAAGUUGCUCUGGGGCUGAAAGCUUGCUUAUGGUAUCAAAGUUGACGUUCAAUAGGUUAAAACGGGAUAAAUUCGUUAAGGAUGU